GAUGAACGCUAGCGGCAGGCCUAAUACAUGCAAGUCGAACGGUGUAGCAAUACACAGUGGCGCACGGGUGCGUAACACGUAUGCAACCUACCUUACAUUGGGGGAUAGCCUUUCGAAAGGGAGAUUAAUACCGCAUAAGACAGGAACUAGGCAUCUAGUAGCUGUUAAAGAUUUACCGAGGUAAGCGGGGCAUGCGUCCAAUUAGUUAGUUGGUGAGGUAACGGCUCACCAAGACGAUGAUUGGUAGGGGAACUGAGAGGUCAAUCCCCACGCUGGCACUGAGAUACGGGCCAGACUCCUGCGGGAGGCAGCAGUAGGGAAUAUUGGGCAAUGGGCGCAAGCCUGACCCAGCCAUGCCGCGUGCAGGAAGAAGGCGUUAUGCGUUGUAAACUGCUUUUAUACAGGAAGAAACGACCCUUGCGAGGGGCAUUGACGGUACUGCAUGAAUAAGCACCGGCUAACUCCGUGCCAGCCGCCGCGGUAAGAC
rnacentral:rRNA from 1 species